GAUGAACGCUGGCGGCGUGCCUAAUACAUGCAAGUCGAGCGAAGCGGGGACGGGUGCGUAACACGUGGAUAACCUCCUAUAAGACUGGGAUAACUUCGGGGAACCGGAGCUAAACCGGAAACUUAUAGAUGGAUCUGCGCUGAAUUAGCUAGUUGGUAAGGUAACGGCUUACCAAGGCAACGAUGCGUAGCCGACCUGAGAGGGUGAGCGGCCACACUGGAACUGAGACACGGUCCAGACUCCUACGGGAGGCAGCAGUGGGGAAUCUUCCGCAAUGGGCGAAAGCCUGACGCAGCCACGCCGCGUGAAUGAAGAAGGCCUUCGGAUCGUAAAACUCUGUUAGUAGGGAAGCGGUACCCAAACAGAAAGCCACGGCUAACUCCGUGCCAGCAGCCGCGGUAAUAC
rnacentral:rRNA from 1 species